rnacentral:rRNA from 1 species
UGUAUUUAUUAGAUAAAAAACCAACGCCCUUCGGGGCUUUUUGGUGAUUCAUGAUAACUUUACGGAUCGCAUAGCCUUGCGCUGGCGACGGUUCAUUCAAAUUUCUGCCCUAUCAACUUUCGAUGGUAAGGUAUUGGCUUACCAUGGUUUCAACGGGUAACGGGGAAUUAGGGUUCGAUUCCGGAGAGGGAGCCUGAGAAACGGCUACCACAUCCAAGGAAGGCAGCAGGCGCGCAAAUUACCCAAUCCCGACACGGGGAGGUAGUGACAAUAAAUACUGAUACAGGGCUCUUUUGGGUCUUGUAAUUGGAAUGAGUACAAUUUAAACCUCUUAACGAGGAACAAUUGGAGGGCAAGUCUGGUGCCAGCAGCCGCGGUAAUUCCAGCUCCAAUAGCGUAUAUUAAAGUUGUUGCAGUUAAAAAGCUCGUAGUUGAAACUUGGGCCUGGCUGGCGGGUCCGCCUCACCGCGUGCACUCGUCCGGCCGGGCCUUCCUUCUGAAGAACCUCAUGCCCUUCACUGGGCGUGCUGGGGAACCAGG